rnacentral:rRNA from 1 species
AUUGAACGCUAGCGGGAUGCCUUACACAUGCAAGUCGAACGAGUGGCGGACGGGUGAGUAAUAUAGCGGAACGUGCCCAGUAGCGCGGGAUCACUACUCGAAAGAGUGGCUAAUACCGCAAACUAAUGGAGCGGACGAUCUCGGAUUAGCUAGUGGUUGGGGUAAAGCCUCACCAAGGCAACGAUCCGUAGCUGGUUUGAGAGGACGACCGGCCACACUGGGACUGAGAUACGGUCCAUACUCCUACGGGAGGCCGCAGUGGGGAAUUUUGGACAAUGGGGUAAACCCUGAUCCAGCCAUCCCGCGUGUAUGAGAAGGCCUUCGGGUUGUAAAGUCCUUUUGGCAGAGAAGCGGUAUCUGCAGACUAAGCACCGGCUAACUACGUGCCAGCAGCCGCGGUAAUAC